rnacentral:rRNA from 1 species
GAUGAACGCUAGCGGCAGGCCUAACACAUGCAAGUCGAGGGGCAGCGGGGAGUAGCAAUACUUUGCCGGCGACCGGCGCACGGGUGCGUAACGCGUAUGUGACCUACCUAUAACAGGGGGAUAACCCAGAGAAAUUUGGACUAAUACCCCAUAUUAUUAUUGAGCUGCAUGGUUUGAUAAUGAAAGACGCGAGUUGGUUAUAGAUGGGCAUGCGUGACAUUAGCUAGUUGGUAAGGUAACGGCUUACCAAGGCGACGAUGUCUAGGGGAACUGAGAGGUUAAUCCCCCACACUGGUACUGAGACACGGACCAGACUCCUACGGGAGGCAGCAGUGAGGAAUAUUGGUCAAUGGUCGGAAGACUGAACCAGCCAUGCCGCGUGAAGGAAGAAUGUCCUAUGGAUGUAAACUCUUUUGUAAGGAGCAAUAAGUUCCAUGCGUGGGAUGAUGAGAGUACCUUACGAAUAAGCAUCGGCUAACUCCGUG